rnacentral:rRNA from 1 species
UACGUAGGUGGCAAGCGUUGUCCGGAAUCAUUGGGCGUAAAGAGCGUGUAGGCGGCCCGAUAAGUCCGCUGUGAAAGUCCAGGGCUCAACCCUGGAAUGCCGGUGGAUACUGUCGGGCUCGAAUCCGGAAGAGGUGAGUGGAAUUCCUGGUGUAGCGGUGAAAUGCGCAGAUAUCAGGAAGAACACCCGUGGCGAAGGCGGCUCUCUGGGACGGUACUGACGCUGAGACGCGAAAGCGUGGGGAGCGAACAGG